CCCUUAGAUGUUCUGGGCCGCACGUGCGCUACACUGACGAAUGCAACGAGCUUAUAACCUUGGCCGAAAGGUCUGGGUAAUCUCCAAAUUUCGUCGUGAUGGGGAUAGAUUAUUGCAAUUAUUAAUCUUCAACGAGGAAUGCCUAGUAAGCGCAAGUCAUCAGCUUGCGUUGAUUACGUCCCUGCCCUUUGUACACACCGCCCGUCGCUCCUACCGAUUGAAUGGUCCGGUGAAGCGUUCGGACCGUGGCCUUUGGACGGUUCGCCGUCUGUUGGCUGCGGGAAGUUCGUUAAACCUUAUCAUUUAGAGGAAGGAGAAGUCGUANCA
rnacentral:rRNA from 1 species